ensembl:rRNA 5S_rRNA 5S ribosomal RNA
GCUUACAGCCAUACUACCCUGAGCACGCCCGAUCUCGUCUGAUCUCGGAAGCUAAGCAGGGUCAGGCCUGGUUAGUACUUGGAUGGGAGACCGCCUGGGAAUACCAGGUGCUGUAAGCU